rnacentral:lncRNA from 1 species
CGCGCCCCCCGGCGGGCGGAGCCCGGCGCCGCGGCCAGGAUUUCCCACCUCGCUCCCGCGACUCCGCUGCGGGUCUGCACACCCGAGGACUCGGGGUACUUAACCGAAACUAGCAAUCCCAGGCGGUACAAGGCCCUCCAUCGUAGGCAAAGCACUACCUGAAUGUAGAUUUGGGCCAUACGUUGGAAAAUAAGACAUGAGAGUAUGCUCCGAUCAACUUUUACUGUUCACUGGACAACUAUUUUGGGAAUUUGCAGACCUAUAAAGCCCAUCUAUAAAUCUCAAGCAUGUCCACUUUCAGAGAAGAGAAAUGCUGACAACCAUUUAGUCUCUGAGGACAACACUUUUAAAGUGUAACAAUGUGGCAUCCAGAGCUUAUCCAGAUGAGCGGAGAGCAAAUGAAUUUCCUUCUGCUCCCCUGUUGAAGAGGAGAGAAAAAUUCUUCAAGCUUUAUACAGGACUCCAUCAUAGGACUGGAGAGAGAUUGGAUGUCAGAGUGAUUGAUGUGCUCCUACUGGAAGAAGGCAAACAUCCAUAUGUGAACUGCCUGUGGGGUUUCCAAGGAAAGGAACGGCAGGCAGCCUCUAUGAGCUUAAAGAAGAUAACUGGGACUUUAGUCCUAUAACCUCAAGGAACAGUAUUCUGUGAACCAUCUGAGAAGCUUGGAAGAGGACCCCAAACUCCAAAUAAGAAGCUCAGUGUGUCUGACACCUUGACUGCAGGCUUGGGAGGUCCUGAGCAGAAGAUCCAGUUCAACAGUGCCUGGACUCCUGAUCCACAAAAACUGAUAACAAAUAUUUAUUGUUUUAAGAUGCUAAGUUUGUAGUCAUUUUUUAUACAGCAACAGAAAACUAAACACACACAUAAACAGUUAUAAGUGCUCACUGUAUAUGAGGCUUUUCAUUAAUAAUCUAUAUUUUAUAAUAGAAUUAGAAUAUAGAUCUGUGAAGCUGAAGACACUCAAUCCUUGCUAGAUUUAAAUCAGGAAAAUCAGCUGAGAAUCAUUCCUUGAUAGAACCUGGAAAACAAGACCCUAUGAGAGACCCUGGGAAUUACAUUAAAUUCACUGUGGUUCCCAGUGUCACUGAAGAGGUUUUCCUUUCAUAGUCAGGUAGUCACCAUACUGUUAAGCAUUUGAACACAUGGGCAACUUCCAGAAUAGUUAUGACAUUGAUAUACCAAUCUCCAAAAUUCCUAGAAUACCAUGUUUUCAUGGUUGACCUUCAAAUCAGUCAGUUCUUUGUAACAUUGAGCCAUAAAGAUAGGGCAAAUACUUAAUGUUUUACAUAUAUUCAGAGAUUGACCCUCAAAAUACAGCCCAGAGAAACUCAAAAGAAUUAACUCUAUUUCUUCAAAUUGUGUGACGCCACCAAGGCCAGAUGACUUCAGCAUUGGGAAGGCAAUAUCCAGCUGUCAUCUUCUUGAUCCUCAUAUGCUACUACUAGCAUCUAGCAUUUACUGAGCAGAUAGUUUUAUUGUCCAGUUUUUAAAGAUAAGAAAAUUGAGGUAUUAGGAAAGUUAAGUUGGUUGCCUAGGGAAACACGAAGAUAUAGCCCAGAUUCACUCCCAGGCAGGCAGAUGCCAGUGUCUGCUCUCUUUACCACCGAAAUAUCCUGCUACAUGUACAAUUUCAAUAAAUAUCUGGACUUACUGGAACAAAACAAAUCAACAACAUUCUUAUUUUCUUUCUUCAGUUUAGAUUAAAUAAUUUAAAUGUCUUCUUAAGAAGCUACAGUUUUUUGAGGCACAGAGGGAUAGGAGGGUAGGUCCUACCAGUUGAGUCACUCAGCCCUAUAGUUGUGAAAAUCCUUAAUUUUAAGAAGCAGCAGUAAAGUCUCUACUUCUCAAGCUUGCCAUUAGAUGGUUUUAAAUAAUUGACAGGCUCUGCUCAAGUUCUUCUGAUUUCUCCAUAUCCUGGAAAUGGUUAAAGGCAUAAGCAGGAAGCCAUUCCCUUUUGAUGAGCUGCUAUGACAUCAUGCAGUAAGUUUACUGAAGAGAGAUUCCUGAUGAAAGAUGCAAGAGAAACUAGAUACAUUAAGCAGUCGUUUCUUUAUAUGAAUCAAUGGGACACCUUUGCUUUCCUUUACUCUAAGUGACCUAUAUGCAGAAAAUGAACUCACUUUUCCUAUGUUUAGAUCAAGUUUUCAAGUUACUUCCUGGCAAACAACCCUAACAAGAUCAUGUAUGAUAGUUAAUUGGCCAUAAUCUCUGCCUUUUCUUUUUUUCUGGCUAAAUAACCAGGUGGACCACACAUUUGGGUCAGGGGAGUCACAUUAGGACUCUUUUAGUAGAGAGAAUGCCAGAUGUAGAUAUCACGCUUAUUGUCUCAACAACAUGACACUUAAUAGCACUUCUACGCCACUUUAAUCAACUAGAGUCAAUUCCACUGUAACACAACAACAUAUGUGAUCCUAAACAGUCACUGCACUAUACUAAACUGUGCAAUAACAACCACAGGGCUCACAAGAAAAUGGGGUUAGUGAUAUAACACUUAAAAUCUUCAUCAGUGGCACAUUCUUUAAAAGAUAGGAAUUUAAUAAAAACAAUAGCACAGUUACAUCUAUCUAUCUUAAAUGGUUAAAAAUACACAAAUAUGGCACUUGAUAUUAAAAAAAGGCCAAAAACUUGCUAGGGAGGUGGAAUGGGAAUGGUUGCCAUUUGUGAGUUAUGGUGAAGCGGUGGAAGAAGGAAUAAAAACUGUGCUCUUUCUCAGCCCUUAAAUCCUAGAAUGAGCAUGUUUUUAUAUAGGAAAGUUCACAAGUGUGAAAGGAUAGCAAACUGUAAAUUUUCAAAAUAAUACAUGGCA